GGCCAGCAUGAUGUAGUGGUUUGAAAUGUUGGAUUACAACUCUGGAGAUCAAGGUUCAAUUCCCUGCUUGGCCA